UACAGAGGGUGCGAGCGUUGUCCGGAAUCACUGGGCGUAAAGGGCGCGUAGGCGGUCUCUUAAGCGUGUGGUGAAAGCCCGGGGCUCAACUCCGGGUCGGCCGUGCGAACUGGGGGACUGGAGCUUGUCAGAGGCAGGCGGAAUUCCGGGUGUAGCGGUGGAAUGCGUAGAGAUCCGGAAGAACACCGGUGGCGAAGGCGGCCUGCUGGGCAGAGACUGACGCUGAGGCGCGACAGCGUGGGGAGCAAACAGG
rnacentral:rRNA from 1 species